GAUGAACGCUGGCGGCGUGCCUAAUACAUGCAAGUCGAGCGAACGGACGAGAAGCUUGCUUCUCUGAUGUUAGCGGCGGACGGGUGAGUAACACGUGGAUAACCUACCUAUAAGACUGGGAUAACUUCGGGAAACCGGAGCUAAUACCGGAUGAUAUUUUGAACCGCAUGGUUCAAAAGUGAAAGACGGUCUUGCUGUCACUUAUAGAUGGAUCCGCGCUGCAUUAGCUAGUUGGUAAGGUAACGGCUUACCAAGGAAACGAUGCAUAGCCGACCUGAGGGGGUGAUCGGCCACACUGGAACUGAGACACGGUCCAGACUCCUACGGGAGGCAGCAGUAGGGAAUCUUCCGCAAUGGGCGAAAGCCUGACGGAGCAACGCCGCGUGAGUGAUGAAGGUCUUCGGAUCGUAAAACUCUGUUAUUAGGGAAGAACAUAUGUGUAAGUAACUGUGCACAUCUUGACGGUACCUAAUCAGAAAGCCACGGCUAACUACGUG
rnacentral:rRNA from 1 species